UACGUAGGAUGCGAGCGUUGUUCGGAAUUACUGGGCGUAAAGAGUGCGUAGGCGGUUAUAUAAGCUUGAUAUUAAAGACUAAGGCUUAACUUUAGGAGUGUAUCAUGAACUGUAUGACUAGAGGCUAAUAGGGGAUGCUGGAAUUACCAGUGUAGCGGUGAAAUGCGUAGAUAUUGGUAAGAACACCUGUGGCGAAAGCGAGCAUCUGGGUUAGUACUGACGCUGAGGUACGAAAGCGUGGGUAGCAAACAGG
rnacentral:rRNA from 1 species